UACGUAGGGUGCAAGCGUUAAUCGGAAUUACUGGGCGUAAAGCGUACGCAGGCGGCUUUGCAAGACAGGUGUGAAAUCCCCGGGCCUAACCUGGGAACUGCAUUUGUGACUGCAUGGCUAGAGUUUGUCAGAGGGGGGUGGAAUUCCACGUGUAGCAGUGAAAUGCGUAGAUAUCUGGAGGAACAUCAGUGGCGAAGGCGACACCCUGGACUCAUACUGACACUGAGGUGCGAAAGCGUGGGGAGCAAACAGG
rnacentral:rRNA from 1 species